rnacentral:sRNA from 2 species
CAAGCGAAGCGUCGGUAUUCCAAAUAUGUUUAAGAAACGCGGGGAGCAAACUGGACUCGGCGCAAUACUGAUCAAUACUUGAACUGUCGGCGCGACAUCUCCCCCAAGUGUCGCGCCGAUAUAGGUACCAACGGACCGCGUACCUUUGUUUACUCCUAAUGGUCUUAACCCGGAUUCACCCCCCAGAACCCGG